rnacentral:rRNA from 1 species
GGGGAAUCUUGCACAAUGGGGGCAACCCUGAUGCAGCGACGCCGCGUGAGCGAUGAAGCCCUUCGGGGCGUAAAGCUCUUUCGACCGGAACGAUAAUGACGGUACCGGGAGAAGAAGCUGCGGCUAACUACGUGCCAGCAGCCGCGGUAAUACGUAGGCAGCAAGCGUUGUUCGGAGUUACUGGGCGUAAAGAGUGCGUAGGCGGUUUUCUAAGUUCGGUGUGAAAUCUCCCGGCUAAACUGGGAGGGUGCGCCGAAGACUGGGAAGCUGGAGUGUGGGAAAGGCAGGCGGAAUUCCUGGUGUCGCGGUGAAAUGCGUAGAUAUCAGGAGGAACACCGGCGGUGUAGACGGCUUGCUAGACCAUAACUGACGCUGAGGCACGAAAGCGUGGGUAGCAAACA